rnacentral:rRNA from 1 species
GAUGAACGCUGGCGGCGUGCCUAAUACAUGCAAGUCGAGCGAACAGACGAGGAGCUUGCUCCUCUGACGUUAGCGGCGGACGGGUGAGUAACACGUGGAUAACCUACCUAUAAGACUGGGAUAACUUCGGGAAACCGGAGCUAAUACCGGAUAAUAUAUUGAACCGCAUGGUUCAAUAGUGAAAGACGGUUUUGCUGUCACUUAUAGAUGGAUCCGCGCCGCAUUAGCUAGUUGGUAAGGUAACGGCUUACCAAGGCAACGAUGCGUAGCCGACCUGAGAGGGUGAUCGGCCACACUGUAACUGAGACACGGUCCAGACUCCUACGGGAGGCAGCAGUAGGGAAUCUUCCGCAAUGGGCGAAAGCCUGACGGAGCAACGCCGCGUGAGUGAUGAAGGUCUUCGGAUCGUAAAACUCUGUUAUUAGGGAAGAACAAAUGUGUAAGUAACUAUGCACGUAUUGACGGUACCUAAUCAGAAAGCCACGGCUAACUCCGUG